UACGUAGGGUGCAAGCAUUAAUCGGAUUUAUUGGGCGUAAAGGGCGCGUAGGCGGGAACGUAAGUCAGAUGUGAAAUCCCGGGGCUCAACCCCGGAAUAGCAUUUGAAACUGUGUUUCUAGAGGGUAGGCGGAGAAAACAGAAUUCCACAAGUAGCGGUGAAAUGCGUAGAUAUGUGGAAGAAUACCUGUGGCGAAGGCGGUUUUCUAGCUUAUACCUGACGCUGAGGCGCGAAAGCAAGGGGAUCAAACAGG
rnacentral:rRNA from 1 species